UUUCUACUGCAGGCAUGUCUUGAAAGACGCUGUAAGCGCUUUUUCCAUGGGUGUCACGAAUUCGCCCAAGUUUAGCACCGGCAGCCGAGCCUACAAGAACACCAGGCACAUCAAACGUGAUAAAUCCCAACGCCGCACCAGCUAACGUACCUACGAUGGUCCAAAAGGCAUUGGCAAUGCCUCUGGUCGAUGUCUCAUUCAUCAUUUCGUUGAACACCUGCUCGAAUUGCGAAUCGGAAAAGGAUUGGCGAAAUCCAAAACUUGGCCCUCCUUGUUGACUCUGACUUUGGGGUUGAGGGUUUGUGCGGGAAAAAAACGAUUGUCUUGGUUUAGCAGAGGAAGAGGCACUUUCACGAUCGUACUGAGCUCGUCGAGAAUUGUCACUUAAGACGUAGUAUGCUUCGUUCACCAGCUGAAAUUGUUCAGUGGCUCGAGCACGAGCACUGGGCGAUACUCUAUCAGGGUGCGUCUCCAGAGCAGCCUUUUUAUACGCAUAUUUUAUCUCCUCAGCACUGGCUUUGGGGGUGAUGUUGAGAAUGGCAUAGUAGUCUUUGAACAUGGUAGUUGGAGGAAUACGUAUACCACACGAUUUCAGCAAUAUGAGCCUCUCAAAUAUCGCAGUGGUGCAAAAUUCGGUGUGCUGAAUAACGAACUUAAUAAACGUGGUAUAUCGCAUAGGGACGGGUUAUACCACGUUAUAUAGAUACCGAUAGGUUAAUUUGUGUUAUGCUAAUUAGCGAUGUUAUGUGCGAUAUCUUAUCGGAGUGUUGGAUAGAAAGAAGACAAAGUAUGGGAAUUUCUUUGGCAAAUAGGAUUGAAAGGAAGCUCAAGUCAAAUUUUUCACUUCCGGAUGUUUAUUUAUAUCUUUUGGAUUUAGAGUCCUUGAUAAAGAUGACUUUGAAUAAACAACAAAAGAACGGUUAAAAAUACCUUUUUUAACCCAAUUUUUGUCUUUCCCGCUAUAGCGAUAUUUCUUGCAUUUGUAUG